rnacentral:rRNA from 1 species
GAUGAACGCUGGCGGCGUGCCUAAUACAUGCCAGUCGAGCGAACGGACGAGAAGCUUGCUUCUCUGAUGUUAGCGGCGGACGGGUGAGUAACACGUGGAUAACCUACCUAUAAGACUGGGAUAACUUCGGGAAACCGGAGCUAAUACCGGAUGAUAUUUUGAACCGCAUGGUUCAAAAGUGAAAGACGGUCUUGCUGUCACUUAUAGAUGGAUCCGCGCUGCAUUAGCUAGUUGGUAAGGUAACGGCUUACCAAGGCAACGAUGCAUAGCCGACCUGAGAGGGUGAUCGGCCACACUGGAACUGAGACACGGUCCAGACUCCUACAGGAGGCAGCAGUAGGGAAUCUUCCGCAAUGGGCGAAAGCCUGACGGAGCAACGCCGCGUGAGUGAUGAAGGUCUUCGGAUCGUAAAACUCUGUUAUUAGGGAAGAACAUAUGUGUAAGUAACUGUGCACAUCUUGACGGUACCUAAUCAGAAAGCCACGGCUAACUACGUG